rnacentral:rRNA from 1 species
UACAACGCACUACCUGUUCAUAGUAGUCGUUGCUGUCAACAGCACACUGCUCACCAUCAACGCAGGGGACUACAUCUUCUACACAGACUGGGCGUGGACGUCCUUCGUUGUGUUCUCGGUGUCGAAGUCCACGAUGCAUUCUGUAGGCGCGAUAUACUUCAGGUCAGUCACAUGGGUUCAAGGCCACCUACACUAUUUCUCCAUAACCAUCAUCAGAUAUACAUGCAGUGAAUAGCGCGAAGGUGUUGCAAUUGGCUACCCCUACGACUCCGUCGGUCGACACGACGCAACAAGCACGCUGCCAUACUGAGUUGCUGUACUCUGGUUGUCCUAGCCUUCCCGCUGAUCAACGUGGUCAACCUGUUGCUUGUAAGGUACCCGCGCGAGGUUGCCUUCAAGUAUCCGAGACCUACUCUGCCUGCGUACAUGACGCCUAUAGAGCCUCAGGUAGGGAAGUUCUACAACUCGCCUGUCGCCCUGGGUUCAGGUGCCGGUGCAGUGCUAACGGUACCCAUCGCUGCGUUGGGUGCAAAACUAAACACGUGG